UCCAUCUUUAAGCAUAAAAUCAUCUGAGGAAUGUCUUCAUGGUCAGUAGUUUACUGUCACACAGUGUUAAGUGGGCCUCAGGGAGGCUGCCACACCAUCACUGGCACAUGCUGUCUUUUAAAGUUGAGGGAGGUUAAUCACCAGUAAGAGAGGGCUGAGUGAGAGGUCUGAAAUAUAGGCUGAGAUGUGGCUCUUACCUUUAAGGAGGAGGAUAAACUCCAGGCACAACAGGUGGAAAUGAGGAGCGUCGUUGCCCACCGCACACAUACACAGACACGCUUGUUUUCAGCUUUUUCUCUUUCCAAGAGAUGCGUAAAAGUCGGCCAAACUGUGCCGCGGUGGCAUGCC